GGGCCCGUAGCUCAGCUGGUAGAGCAACUGACUUUUAAUCAGUAGGUCGAAGGUUCGAAUCCUUCCGGGCUCACCA
rnacentral:tRNA from 1 species